UCGAGAAUCUUCCGCAAUGGGGGAAACCCUGACGGAGCGACGCCGCGUGCGGGAUGAAGGCCUUCGGGUUGUAAACCGCUGUCACAGGUUAAGAAAGGGCCCGACGUGAACAACGCCGGGCCUUGACAAAGGCCUGAGAGGAAGCCACGGCUAACUUCGUGCCAGCAGCCGCGGUAAGACGAAGGUGGCGACCGUUGUUCGGAAUCACUGGGCAUAAAGCGCACGUAGGCGGUGAGGUAAGUCAGGUGUGAAAGCCCUCGGCCCAACCGAGGAAUGGCGCUUGAAACUACCUCACUUGAGGGCAGGAGGGGAGCGUGGAAUUCCUGGUGGAGCGGUGAAAUGCGUUGAUAUCAGGAGGAACACCGGCGGCGAAGGCAACGCUCUGGCCUGCUUCUGACGCUAAGGUGCGAAAGCCAGGGGAGCAAACGGGAUUAGAUACCCCCGUAGUCC
rnacentral:rRNA from 1 species